CCCUCCCUCACAGGCAAACCCCCAAGCAGAACCAAUCCUGCCGAAAGCAGCUCCGUGCCUACUAUGAGAGGACCUGGCUGCACAUGAAGCCAGCCUGAGAGUCUCCAGGGGCGAAGGGAAGCUGUCCCUGCCUUUCUCGGCUCAGGCGAGCUUCCAGCAGCCUGGACACUGGGACCGAAGAAGGGAGCAGUCAUUCCCAGACUGGGAAACAGAGGCUUGCUGAAGUGAUUGAUCCAGGGUAGAUCUACUGCUGCUCCAAGCACUCGUGGGGAGUCACUAGCCUUGCCCUUGGGCCUGCGGAACCCCAGCCUAGUACCUUUGUCGCUGGCUGGCUGACGGUCAUGGUGUCCACGUCUUUAGGAGUCUGAAAGUGAGUGGUGACAGCUGAGUUAACACAAGAGCUACCACUGACCACAAAUGAAAAUAAGGAUGGGUUCAGCCUUGAGCUACCCUGUGUUGCAUUCAUACCGUGGUAAAGGCCGGGCCUCCAGCCAUCCAGCUGUGCCAUCACACGGAGACACGGACCAGGAUUGGCUUCACCAUCGGAUGGAAAUCACUACCAGUACAGCUUUCUACAGUCUGUUCUUGCUACCUGGAAGGUUCUUCCCACAGAUCCUACCCUACUGAUAGUCGUGUUCCCACCACCCCUUCUUGUGGGGGAUGUUCCAGACCCGUGUGGGUGUUCCUAGCACACAUUAGAGCGUUUAUGGCAGUGACUGUGUGGGUCUGAAUCCUGUGAGUGUUGGUGGGAGACAAGCCUGGGGUAGAUCACUGUGUAGUGAUAGAGCAGGAUGCUAGGAGACUAGGCCCACACUGUGCCAGACAGAGCUGGCUCAUCGUCGGACCUCUUGCUCCCCCUGUCCUGUGAGUCCAUGCUGCUCCUCAGGGUGAACAGUUAUGGCACCUGCUCUGGGCAUGAACUGGCCAGCACUGAGGGGUCCUUUGGCCCCCUUUGCUUCCCCCCUCCCAAGUUCUCCCUCUUUGCCCUCCCUCCUCACCAUCCCAGCCUUUGUGGCAGGAAGUCAGGCACCCAGAGCACUGACAGACUGAGGACUGCUAGGGGCAAGCCGUCCCCAGCCCCAUUCUUUGGGAAGGAACCACAAUCAAAUGGCAUUUUGGUGCAGACAUGUGAAGGGGGAGGCCUUCCUCCCUUUGCCGCUGAAAUCAUCCUAGGCAGGAGGUCAAGGCCCUUCUUACAAGGAGGGCAAGCCAAGAUGGCUAGAAAGUUAUCUGGCUUUUAAAAGUCAAGCCAGGGGAACUGGUGAGAUGGUUCAGUGGUUAAGAGCACUGGCUGCUCUUCCAGAGGACCUGGGUUUGAGUCUUAGCAUCCAUAUGAUGGCUUACAACCAUCUGUAACUAACUCCAGUUCCGGGGAAUGUGAAGCCCUCUUCUGGUUCCCAAGCAUACAUGUGAUUGUACAUACAUACAUGCAAGCAAAACACUCAUACACAUAUGAAACAAAACUAGAAAAAAACAUUUUUAAAGUCAACCCAGACCCAAGAGUGGUAGUAUACACCUUUGAUCCCAGCACUCCAGAGACAGAGUCAAGCAGGCCACUGACAGUUUGAGGCCAGCCUGGUCUACCUAGCGAGUUCUAGGCCAGCCAAAUCUGCAAAGUGAGGCCCUACCUCAAACAAAUAAACAAACAAACACCAAAAAAGUCAGCCCAGGGCCCUGACACGGUUCAGCAGGCAAAGAUGCUUGCAACCAAGCCUGCUGACCUGAGCUCACUCUUCAAGAUCCCAUGGUAGAAGGAGAGAACCAAUUCCUGCAAGUUGUCCUCUGACCCCCACCUACAUGACAUAGCACUUGCAAAUGCACACACAUAACAAUAAACAAGUAAAUAUCAUUUUAAAAUGUUUUAAAGUCAACUCAACACACCAGGCGUGCUGGUCCAUGCCUUAUAGUCCAAGCUCCUAGGAAGGCUGAGUCAGGAGAACCACUUGAUUCCAGGAGUGGCUGACAUAGGAUGGAUGUCAGGUUUUGGGGAGGGCAAUUUGCUUUGAGUACCUGUGCAUUUUGAGAAGCCGGGGGUUUGGUGAGCACCUGUCCUUGAGAAACUCCUUCAGCUGGAAGUGUAACUGCCGGGUUACUUGCAGAAGCUAAACUGUGCAGAUGAGUUAGAUGUGUACUGACCGCAGACUGGACAGCCUUGGGAGUGCAGCACAGUGGUAGAACCCUUGCCCAGGGUGCACAGAGGCCUGAGUUCCAUCCCCAGCAUUGCAAGGAAGAAUAAAUAAAGUCAGGGUAUGGACAGAGGAAUGAGGGACCAGCUCAUGUUACGGAGUUGUGUGCACAGACUCUGUACAGUGGCAGGCACCUAUAGUCCUAGCUAUUUGGGAGGCUGAGGCAGGAGGAUUACUUGAGCCUAGGAACUGGAGACCAACCUGAGCAACACAGGAGGCACCCUGCCUCAAAGGAAAAGAAAGGCAGGAGGAAGAGGAAGAGGAAGAAGACUAGGAGGAAGAAGAGGAGGGAGAGGAAGAGGACUCCCCAGCUACUAAAAAGGAAGUGGUUGUAUAUGCAAUGACCCACACACAAAAAAAAUGUCCACGAGGUGCCCAGUGAAAAAUAAGGUAUCUAACAUCUAACAUGGAUGUUAGUGUUUCUGUGAGAAGCACGCCUAAACAGACAAGUUCACAUAAUACCAGGACCUGGACCCAGGCAAGGACAGCACAGGUGUAGUGUGAAUGGCUGUAUGCCCACCACAGGAAAAUGUUUAUGUUUCUCAUCAACUAACAACAGUUUGAGGGGACAGAGUUCAGGAAAUAUGGGGAAGUUGAUUGGUCUUUACUGACUGUAUUUUAUUAAUG